UGGGCGAAAGCCUGAUCUGCCUGCCGCAUGAGUGAAGAAGGCCUUUGGGUUGUAAAGCUCUUUUAGUGAGGNNNAUAAUGACGGUACUCACAGAAGAAGUCCUGGCUAACUCCGUGCCAGCAGCCGCGGUAAUACGGAGAGGGCUAGCGUUAUUCGGAAUUAUUGGGCGUAAAGGGCGCGUAGGCGGAUUAGUAAGUUAAAAGUGAAAUCCCAAGGCUCAACCUUGGAAUUGCUUUUAAAACUGCUAAUCUAGAGAUUGAAAGAGGAUAGAGGAAUUCCUAGUGUAGAGGUGAAAUUCGUAAAUAUUAGGAGGAACACCAGUGGCGAAGGCGUCUAUCUGGUUCAAAUCUGACGCUGAGGCGCGAAGGCGUGGGGAGCAAACAGGAUUAGAUACCCUGGUAGUCCACGCUGUAAACGAUGAAUGUUAAAUAUGGGAAGUUUUACUUUCUGUAUUACAGCUAACGCGUUAAACAUUCCGCCUGGGGACUACGGUCGCAAGAUUAAAACUCAAAGGAAUUGACGGGGACCCGCACAAGCGGUGGAGCAUGUGGUUUAAUUCGAUGCAACGCGAAAAACCUUACCACUCCUUGACAUGAAAAU
rnacentral:rRNA from 1 species